CAAAUGUCGAAAAAUAAACAAUCCGUAUGAAUGCUGAAAGCAUCCGUAUGAAUGCCGAAAGCAGUCCGUAUGAAUGCCGAAAGCAAUCCUUAUGAAUGCAUUGUCACAAAACACUAAAAAAUUAUAUUCGCGUGCAUACAACGACUUGACACAUCUGGGAAAUAAUAAACAUAGGAUCG